rnacentral:rRNA from 1 species
AGAACGAACGCUGGCGGCGUGGAUAAGACAUGCAAGUCGGACGCGAUUUAUCCGGUUAGCAAUAACUGGGUGGAUUGAGUGGCGAAAGGGUGCGUAACACGUGGGAAUUUACCAAGAAGUGGGGAAUAGCUCGACGAAAGUCGAAUUAAUACCGCAUGUGAUCGUAAGAUCAAAGCCGGGGACCGCAAGGCCUGGCGCUUUUUGAGAAGCCCGCGGCCCAUCAGCUAGUUGGCGAGGUAAUGGCUCACCAAGGCUAUGACGGGUAGCUGGUCUGAGAGGACGACCAGCCACACUGGAACUGAGACACGGUCCAGACACCUACGGGUGGCAGCAGUCGAGAAUUUUUCACAA